rnacentral:rRNA from 1 species
UUUUACGGAGAGUUUGAUCCUGGCUCAGGAUGAACGCUGGCGGCGUGCUUAACACAUGCAAGUCGAACGAUGAAGCCCAGCUUGCUGGGUGGAUUAGUGGCGAACGGGUGAGUAACACGUGAGUAACCUGCCCUUAACUCUGGGAUAAGCCUGGGAAACUGGGUCUAAUACCGGAUAGGAGCGUCCACCGCAUGGUGGGUGUUGGAAAGAUUUAUCGGUUUUGGAUGGACUCGCGGCCUAUCAGCUUGUUGGUGAGGUAAUGGCUCACCAAGGCGACGACGGGUAGCCGGCCUGAGAGGGUGACCGGCCACACUGGGACUGAGACACGGCCCAGACUCCUACGGGAGGCAGCAGUGGGGAAUAUUGCACAAUGGGCGCAAGCCUGAUGCAGCGACGCCGCGUGAGGGGAUGACGGCCCUUCGGGGUUGUAAAACCUCUUUUCAGUAGGGGAAGAAGCGAGAGUGACGGUACCUGCAGAAGAAGCACCGGCUAACUACGUGCCAGCAGCCGCGGUAAUACGUAGGGGUGCGAGCGUAUCCGGAAUUAUUGGGCGUAAAGAGCUCGUAGGCGGUUUUGUCGCGUCUGUCGUGAAAGUCCGGGGGCUUAACCCCGGAUCGCGGUGGGUACGGGCAGACU